AUGAAGUAAGCUCAAAAACAAAAAUCAGGCAAGCGUUUUUAGGUUUUGAUGUGGGUGAUGUGAUAUGUGAGGCAAAUCUUCGUAAAUUUGUUUUUAUAUUAGUUUAAUUGACUAUUUCACAUGGUGUCCUACGGAAGUAAGUGACAGCAAAUUUUCGCGCAUUUUCAAAGAGAGUUAUAGAUUUGACUGAAGCAGUAGAGCUCAUUUUUUGUCCUAAUGGUGAAAUAUCAGAUGUAAGCGACAUUGAUGAUGGUGAUGAUGAGCUGGAAGAUAUUUUCCAUGCUGAGGAUCCAGAUUUUGUUGCCCUUCCAGACAACAUUGAAAUUCAUGCAGUUCAUGAAGAUAGUGAAGUGAGUGAUAUUGAAGAUGAUGAUGAACCUGUAAGGCGAUCUAAACCAGCAAAGCGAUGCAAGACAAAAAAGUGUAAAUGGCAACAGAAAGAUGUUCCUUUUCCCGAAAACCAUUUCAAUGAUACAUUCCCAGAUCCACCUGAACAACUGCAUUCCUCUUUGGAAUAUUUCAACAUGUUCAUUGAUUUUGAAA